rnacentral:rRNA from 1 species
GAAGGGUCUGGAAAGUCCCACUAUAGAGCGUGAUAGUCGCGUAGCCGAAAUCUGACAAUACUUAUCUGGUUCCUGAGUAGGGCGGGGCACGUGAAACCCUGUCUGAAUCCGGGAGGACCAUCUCCCAAGCCUAAAUACUACCUAAUGACCGAUAGUGAAUCAGUACCGUGAGGGAAAGGUGAAAAGAACCCCGUUGGGGGAGUG